rnacentral:rRNA from 1 species
AGAGUUUGAUCCUGGCUCAGGACGAACGCUGGCGGCGUGCUUAACACAUGCAUGUCGAGCGGGGACCGCACUCUUUUGGGUGUGGAGCCGAGCGGCGAACGGGUGAGUAACACGUGAGCAACCUGCCCCUGGCUCUGGGAUAGCCCUGGGAAACCGGGAUUAAUACCGGAUAUGACCGCUGCUCGCAUGGGUGGUGGUGGAAAGGUUCCCCCUUGUGGGGUUCCGGCCGGGGAUGGGCUCGCGGCCUAUCAGCUUGUUGGUGGGGUGAUGGCCUACCAAGGCGACGACGGGUAGCCGGCCUGAGAGGGCGACCGGCCACACUGGGACUGAGACACGGCCCAGACUCCUACGGGAGGCAGCAGUGGGGAAUAUUGCACAAUGGGCGCAAGCCUGAUGCAGCGACGCCGCGUGAGGGAUGAAGGCCUUCGGGUUGUAAACCUCUUUCA